UCUUGCUCGGCGUUGCUAAAACAAGCUUGCUCUGAGGAGCUGUAGAUGCUGUUUCUGCCGGGUGAAAAUAGUUUCUGUUGGCUCUGCUAUUAUACACCCAUGUGUGAGGAAGAGAUGUGACGGACUCACUGCUAGGAAAGCCAGUGCUGGAGUGAUUUAGGUGAUCGGCCAGGUUUGGAACUACUUUCAUCUGAAUUGGUGGCUUAUUGGUCAAGUGAGGAGCCUGUCAUAGAGAUGUUCGAAUUGCCUAACAAAUGGGCAGAAUGACAACUCCAUUCAUAGGAGAGCCCAAAAGGGAACUAAAACUGCUCACGGUAGGAAAAUUCUGUGUUGAGUGUACAACCUUAGAGGAAUAUAGGGCUAGGGAACUGAGAAUGGGUGGGGACUUAUUUUCACUAAAAUGAAAUUAAAGAGUCAGAACUCUAAAUAGAGAUAAGGUCAGUGGCUUAUAUUUACAUGACUUCUGAUCAAUGGGCCGUGUUUGCUUCAUUUCCUUACUCUCUAGAUGUGCACUGUUCCUAUAGUAGCCACUAGCCACAUGUGGAUGCUGAGCACUGGAAAUGGGGCUAGUCCAAAUUGAAAUUGCUGUCCAUGUAAACUGCACACUGGAUUUCAAAGACUUUGGAAAAGUAACAGCUAAUGGACACCUUUAACAUUGAUUAUGUGUUAAAAGAAUAUUUUGGAUCCCCUGAGUUAAAGACAUAAUUAAAAUUCAUUUCACCUGUUUCUUUUUAUGUGUUUUUACCGUGGCUCCUAGAAAAUUUUAAAUUGCAUAUAUGGCCUGUGGGGGCUAAAAGCAUUCUUGAUCUGGGUGAUGGAGAUACACAUGUAUGUAUGUACGCACUGAAAUUCAUCAAACUGUGCCCUGAAGCCUUGGGUACUGCACUGUUGCAUAUAAAUAAAAAUCAAGUUUAAAAAAUUUAAAAAACAGGAAUG